GCUACUUUUUGGACGGUUAGGACUUUGAGGAUCUGGAAGGGCAUCUUCAGAUGGUGUAUUUUCUCUAGAUCUAUGCUAAUGUCCUCCUGUGCUGAUGACAAUGACUUGGAAGAUGGUCUUUUUUGGCAAUGGCAUACUCGGAUUCACAAACUUAUCCUCCAACAUCGAGUGGCACAUCAGGUU